CCCAGGAUGGCCGAGUGGUUAUGGCACCAGACUGCUGAUCUAGAGUUGUUUCGAUAUCGCAGGUUCGAAUCCUGCUCCUGGGA
rnacentral:tRNA from 1 species